GCGAGGGUGGCGGAAUUGGUAGACGCGCUGGACUUAGGAUCCAGUGGCUUGCUCCGUGCGGGUUCGAGUCCCGCCCCUCGCACCA
rnacentral:tRNA from 1 species